rnacentral:rRNA from 1 species
UGAGGAAUAUUGGACAAUGGAUGGAAAUCUGAUCCAGCCAUGCCGCGUGCAGGAAGACGGCCCUAUGGGUUGUAAACUGCUUUUGUAUGGGAGCAAUAAGGACUACGUGUAGUUAGAUGAGAGUACCAUACGAAUAAGCAUCGGCUAACUCCGUGCCAGCAGCCGCGGUAAUACGGAGGAUGCGAGCGUUAUCCGGAUUUAUUGGGUUUAAAGGGUGCGUAGGCGGCGAUAUAAGUCAGUGGUGAAAUAUUUCGGCUUAACCGAGAGACUGCCAUUGAUACUGUGUUGCUAGAAUAUGGUUGCUGUGAGUGGAAUGUGUGGUGUAGCGGUGAAAUGCUUAGAUAUCACACAGAAUAUCGAUUGCGAAGGCAGCUCACAAAGCCAUUAUUGACGCUGAGGCACGAAAGUGUGGGGAUCAAACA